CGUACUUAAGGACAAGUACAGCCGGCAAGGAUGUCGGUCUGGACCAGCCGCUGGAUGCGGUUUCAUCAGGACGGUGAGCAGGAAACAAAGGGAAGUAGGGAAGGAGGCGGGCGGGGCUUAAACCCCGCCCCUUUUUUU
rnacentral:sRNA from 1 species